CGAAAAAAAAAGUAAUUUGUCAAACAUUUUUUCUUUCGGACGACAAGUAAUAAAAAAGUUAAAAUAGACGCCGAUGAAAAUUUAAGAAAAACUCCUUUAAUUAAUUCAAUUUUAUACACAAAAUGAGUGAUAUAUUAAAAAGCUCACAAGAACGUUCCCGCAAACGUAAACAGCUACUUGCUCAAACGCUUGGCCUUUCUAGUGUCGAUGAACUAAAGAUUGUCCUUGGCACAGUUGAAGAAGCCGGCAGUCAACGUUCCAAUCGUGAUGAUGACAACGAAAGUCCAGGUCCAUCAUCAAAAAAACCUCAAGCUGAAAUUAUUUAUCGUGAUUCGUCGACAUUUUUGAAGGGCACCCAAUCAUCCAACCCACACAACGAUUACUGCCAGCAUUUUGUUGAUACUGGUCAAAGGCCACAAAACUUUAUUCGUGACGUUGGUUUGGCCGACCGUUUCGAAGAAUAUCCCAAACUAAGGGAACUUAUUCGUCUGAAAGAUGAACUGAUAUCGGAAACUGCCACUGCUCCUAUGUAUCUUAAAGCUGAUGUCAAGACAUUGGACUUGAAGACUCUUGGUAGUAAGUUCGAUGUUAUUCUAAUUGAACCACCGCUUGAGGAAUAUGCUCGAGGUGCGGCAACAGUGGCAACUGUUGGGGGAGCUCCACGAGUUUAUUGGAAUUGGGAUGAGAUUCUCAGUCUAGAUGUGGGAGAAGUAGCAGCUCACCGUAGUUUUGUAUUCCUUUGGUGUGGUAGUUCCGAAGGUCUUGAUAUGGGAAGAAACUGUUUGAAAAAAUGGGGCUUUCGACGUUGUGAAGAUAUCUGUUGGAUCCGAACAAACAUUAACAAACCGGGACAUUCCAAGAUUCUCGAACCAAAAGCAGUAUUUCAACGUACAAAGGAACAUUGUUUGAUGGGCAUCAAGGGCACUGUUCGUCGUUCGACUGACGGUGAUUUCAUUCAUGCCAAUGUCGAUAUUGAUCUCAUCAUUUCCGAAGAAGAAGAAUUUGGCAGCUUUGAGAAACCCAUCGAAAUAUUUCAUAUAAUUGAGCAUUUUUGUUUGGGACGACGUAGAAUGCAUUUGUUUGGAAGAGAUUCAAGUAUCCGUCCGGGUUGGCUAACUGUUGGCCCCGAAUUGACUAAUUCGAAUUUCAAUUCGGAAUUGUAUCAAUCGUAUUUUGCUGAAGGUGCUGCUACUGGAUGUACUAGCAGAAUUGAAUCAUUGCGACCGAAAAGUCCACCGGCUAAUAGCAAAGUGAUUCGUGGUCGCGGUAGAGGAUUUGCUCGUGGACGUGGAAGACCUAGAUAGAUUCUAAUUUGAUUAUACUUGACUUUUUUUUGGAAAAAUUAUUCUAUUUUAAAUACACUUGACACAAAUACUAUAAGAAAAAAUUGUAGAGUUCACUGAAACAUAGUUUUGCUUCGGUCGUGCUGCCACCCAAUGGGCAUUUUGCAAAAAGAUGAGAACAAGCUCUUUAUUCACUUUAAUACUUUCUCUAAGAUCGAAAUCAAUAAAAUACACUGAAAAGUGAGUUAAUCGUUUGCACUUCUCUUCCAAAUGACCAAUGUUUUGAAAGUGCUCGACUUAAAAAGAAAACAAAAAUUACAACAUUAACUUUUAGUGUCGUACGCAAAUUAGUUAUAGCUCAUACAAAAUGUUUCAAGCAAUAUAAAGCGUGUCCGGAAAAGAGAUGCAUUCAUGUAAAUUGUUAAUAUUAAUCGAUGUUAACGCGAAAUGUAAAUACAAUCCUGAAAAAUGCUCUUUUUUUUGUGAAGAAGU